AAAUCCCCUUGCUAACU
rnacentral:tRNA from 1 species